rnacentral:lncRNA from 1 species
GAGCUCAAUGAAUUCAAUAUAUACUUUAAGACAAGAGUUGCCAUCAAGAGCCAAGCCUUGCUGAUUUUAUAGCUGAAUUUGCUAAUGUCCGUGUAAUAGAGGAGAUGAUAGAGCCACUAAGACUCCCACAUGAAACUUGUUUGUUGACGGCUCGACUGGAGAAGCGGGCUUAGGUACAAGAAUGGUCCUGGUGAGCUAUGAAGUUCACAAGUUGAAUUUCGCAAUGCAAUUCGGAUUUAAAGCUACUAACAAUGUGGCAGAGUUAGG